GAAAAUAUUGAAGGCAUCAACAAAUUUCUAGAGUCAUAUGAUUUGCCCAUAUUGAAUCAGGAUGAUAUAUACAGUUUAAACAGAAUAAUUUCAACCAGUGAAAUAGAAGAGACCAUCAGAAGCCUACCAACCAAGAAAAGCCCAGGACCAGAUGGACACAGAGCCAAGUUCUAAAGACCUUAAAGAAGAACUAAUACCAAUACUCUUCAAUUUAUUUCAGGAAAUAGAAAAAGAGACAGCACUUCCAAACUCAUUCUAUGAGGCCAAUAUCACUCUGAUUCCAAAACCAGGCAAAGACACAUCAAAGAAAGAAAACUUCAGACCAAUAUCUCUAAUGAACAUAGAUGCAAAAAUUCUCAAUAAAAUUCUGGCAAAUCGAAUACAAAAACAUAUUAAAAAGAUCAUGCACCAUGAUCAAGUGGGAUUCAUCCCAGGGAUGCAAGGUUGUUUCAACAUAUGGAAAUCAAUAAAUGUAAUUCAUCACACCAAUAGACUUAAAAAUAAGAACCACAUGAUCAUCUCAACAGAUGCAGAAAAAGUAUUUGACUAAAUACAGACCCCUUCAUGUUCAAAACACUAGAAAAACUUGGGAUAACAGGAACAUAUCUCAACAUCAUAAAGGCUAUCUAUGCUAAGCCCCAGGCCAAACUCAUUCUAAAUGGAGAAAAAUUAAGAGCAUUCCCUCUAAAAACUGGAACAAGACAGGGAUGCCCUCUUUCACCACUUCUAUUUAACCUGGUUCUUGAAAUAUUGGCCAUUAGACAGAUGAAAGAAAUUAAAGGGAUAUGGAUAGGUAAAGAAGAACUCAAAUUAGCACUAUUUGCUGAUAAUAUGAUUCUAUAUCUAGAAGACUCAAAAAAUUCCACCAGAAAACUUCUAGAACUAGUAAAUGAAUUCAGCAAAGUGGCAGGAUAUAAAAUCAACACCCAUAAAUCAAAGGUAUUUCUGUAUAUCAGUGACAAAUCCUCAGAAAGGGAAAUGAGGAAAACUACCUCAUUUACAAUAGCCUCAAAAAUAAUAAAAAAAAUUAAUAAAAUACUUGGGAAUCAACAAAAGAGGUGACAAAAACUAUAGAACACUAAAGAUAGAAAUCAAAGAAGACCUUAGAAGAUGGAAAGAUCUACCUUGCUCCUGGAUAGGCAGAAUUAAUACUGUCAAAAUGACCAUACUUCCAAAAGCACUAUACAGAUUUAAUGCAAUUCCAAUCAAAAUCCCAAGGAUUUUCCUCAUAGAAAUAGAAAAGGCAAUCAUGAAAUUCAUCUGGAAAAAUAAGAGACCUAGAAUAGCCAAAGCAAUCCUCAGCAAGAAGAGUGAAGCAGGAAGCAUCAUUAUACCUGACCUUCAACUGUACUACAGAGAGACAGUAACGAAAACAGCAUGGUAUUGGCACCAAAAUAGACUGGUAGACCAGUGGUACAGAAUAGAGGACACAGAGACUAAGCCACAUAAUUACAGUUAUCUUAUAUUAGUCAAAGGUGCCAAAAACAUGCACUGGAGAAAAGAUAUCCUCUUCAACAAAUGGUGCUGGGAAAACUGGAAAUCCAUAUGAAACAAAAUGAAAUUAAACCCCUCUCACCAUGCACAAAACUCAACUCAAGGUAGAUCAAGGACCUAGGAAUUAAACCAGAGACUCUGUGUCUAAUAGAAGGAAAAGUAGGAACAAAUCUCCAUCAUGAGAUUAGGUCCUGACUUUCUUAAUAAGACUCCUAUAGCACAAGAAUUAAAAUCAAGAAUCAAUAAAUGGAUGGACUCAAACUAAAAAGCUUCUUCUCAGCAAAAGAAGCAAUCAGUGAGGGGAAUAGAAAGCCUACAGAAUGGGAGCAAAUUUUUACCCCUCACACAGCAGAUAGAGCAUUAAUCUCUAGGAUACAUAAAGAACUCAAAAAUUGUAACACCAAAAAUAAAUAAAUAGCCCAAUUGAUAAAUGGGCCGAGAUACUGAACAGACACUUCUCAGAAGAUGAUAUACAGCCAAUCAACAAAUACAUGAAAAAGUGUUCAACAUCUCUAGCAAUUAGAGAAAUACAAAUCAAAACUACUCUAAGAUAUCAUCUCACUCCAGUCAGAAUGGCAGCUAAUAAGAAUACAAACAACAAUAAGUGUUGGUGAGGAUGUGGAAAAAAGGCACACUCAUACAUUGCUGGUGGGACUGCAAAUUGGUGCAGCCAAUAUGGAAAGCAGUAUGGAGAUUCCUUGGAAAACAUGGAAUGGAACCACCCUUUGACCCAACUAUCCCACUCCUUGGUCUAUACCCAAAGGACUUAAAAACAGCACAUACUACAGGGACACAGCCACAUCAAUGUUUAUAGCAGCACAAUUCACAAUAGCUAAAUUGUGGAACCAACCUAGAUGCCCUUCAGUAGAUGAAUGGAUGAAGAAAAUAUGAUAUAUGUACACAAUGGAAUAUUACUCAGCAUUAAAAGAGAAUAAAAUCAUGGCAUUUGCAGGUAAAUAGAUGGAGUUGGAGAAUAUAAUGCUAAGUGAAGUCAGCCAAUCCCAAAAAAACAAAUGCC
rnacentral:lncRNA from 1 species